CACGCGGAGCGAGUAAACGACCGUGCGAAGCCGGGGGUGUCGCUUUGGAUCGAGAGAAAGGGGAGCUGGGGGUGUCGCGUCACGUAGUGGUGAGGAAGGAGGGAGUAGUCGGCGGCGGCCCAGAAGAACGACCCCACCUUCUCAUCCCCUAGGCCGGCUUAGCCUCCGCACGCCCGGACCACCGCCCGUAGAAACCGUCCCCGCCGCCGCCCGGACCACCGCCCGUAGAAACCGUCGCCGCCGCCGCCCGUAGAGGCCGUUUUCCGCUACCGCCCCUACGAGCUAAGCGGUACCUGGCCAGGGAUGUCCUCUCUCUUUCUUUCUCUCCUCCCUCUUUCGCUCUCCUUUCUCCUCUCCCUCCACGCUGCCGCCCGCCCUCUCCCAGAGGCCGGCCACGCUCUGUAAGUGCAGAGAGGAGGAGAGGACGAGAGCUGGUGGUGGCACCGGGAGGAAGAGGGGAAGUUAAGGGACAGAGGAGAAGAGAUCUCAAUGGACUCACCAGUUGUGGCUCUUUCUACCCCUUCUGUCUCGGUCGCUCCUUCUGCCGAACUGAGACGGUGGCUACGACUGGCCGGUUAAGGCAGCCCGCAACAGUACCCUCCUCCGCUUGGUAGCUCCUCGUCGUGCCCUCCUCUAUUCUAUUCGGCGGCCUUAGGGACAAGUGAAGACCAACGUAGAACGGGCACUCGAGGAAGAAGAAUGUCGGUCGAACCGGGAAAAGAACGGUACAAAACCCACUACGUCCCAUAGUUCGUCCGCUACCGCUCCUAGUCUACGCCAUCGUCGACUUCCUCAGUACCUCUCCCCCGCUCUCACUCGUCGCCGACGGCCGGUUCUUCCUUCUCCGACCCCGCUCCUGGCCUCCUCCUCCACGAGUACCACCUCGUAUCCUCCUGCCUCCGCCUCACGACGACGUUGCCGACACCCUGACCCGCUUUCCACAUCUCCCGGUGUUACUCCGUCUGCUGUCACCUACCGUUGUUAUCCACAACCGCCUACGAGGCUCUGGUACUUCUCGGAUAAGUUACCAUACUCUUCCUACUGUACCUCUACCUCCUAAGGCUGUACCGUGGAGGCAUUAGCGCGUCAACCUCUCGUACGUACUCUGGUGAUGAAGAACGGAAGGUCAUUAAAAUUAUAAUAUCCUUACCUCUUCAUCUUCAACUCCCCUUCGAUGACGUACGACCUUUUAGUCAACCACAACAGAUACAACCAAAGUCCUUCUUUUCAUGAUAGUUUAACUACCGAGUCCGUGCAGUAUGUUUCAUGGAACGACAUAGAUCGUCUAACGCUCCUAAGGGAAGACAACAUUCUAUUUUUGGACCAAUAUACAACGUAGGGUUUUAGUUCUACGACUAAGCUCUUCUCUUACGAAAGUUUCUACACUCUCACGUUGAAGUAUAUUAAACUUCAAUUAACAUGUACAUGAAUUUACCUUCGUAGAUAACCGGGGAGCUUGUGAACUGUAUCCGUGUAAGUUUUAUCUAAUAGAGAAUACUGAGUACUAGUCAGUGGAGAACCUUUCGACUCCGUGGUAAAGAUUUAACAAAUCGUAGGUGCUUAAACCGCUAGCACUAGAAAGAACGGAUCCAACCUGCUAAACGACACAAGGACGUAAAGAAACGACGACGAGUUCUACACUAACAUUUACCGUAAUUCUUACUUAUCUAGGCUGAGCUCCUACCGUACCAACUACAUACGUUGGUACCCUCACAUUCGAAUCAGACCAGCGGUAGUGGUCUCACUACACUUUGUUCCAAAAGUCCCUUGAUAAAACUUUCUGUACACAAAUGUCUUGUGUACAAAGUAGCAGAAGAGAAAAAGUACUCAAUAACUUGUCUAGAAUACUUCGAACUAACUAUCACAAAGUUGAGUCUACUUCACCAGACCUGCUAGUCCAAAACGUCUAGGACCUCUAGCAAUAUGGAAAACAUGUUACGUGACAAGACCUAAGUUUAACUGACACUCACAACGUACGGAAACAUAACACAACGACUUGGAGUGAUUCAAAGAGUUACAGGUUCAGAAAACAAGAAUCUUUUUGAUAAAACAACGUAGGUGUAAUUGGUAUACAUAAAUGUAAAAGUGAAAACUUAACAUUUUAUUUCGGGAAUAACCAUUUGUGCGUGCACUAAUCGUCACAAAGUUUAAAAGAUU
rnacentral:rRNA from 1 species